UACGGGGGGGGGCAAGCGUUGUUCGGAAUCACUGGGCGUAAAGGGUGCGUAGGCGGCUUGUCGCGUCGUCCGUGAAAACUUGGGGGCUCAACCCCCAAGCUUGCGGUCGAUACGGGCAGGCUAGAGUUCGGUAGGGGAGACUGGAAUUCCUGGUGUAGCGGUGAAAUGCGCAGAUAUCAGGAGGAACACCGGUGGCGAAGGCGGGUCUCUGGGCCGAUACUGACGCUAAGGCGCGAAAGCGUGGGGAGCGAACAGG
rnacentral:rRNA from 1 species